ACGGCUCAGUAACACGUGGCUAAUCUGCCCUUGGGACUGGAACAUCCCCGGGAAACUGGGGCUAAUUCUUGAUAGGUGAAGAACUCUGGAAUGAGUCUUUGCUUAAAAGGCGUUUGCGUUAUGCUCGUAGGCGUCGCCCAAGGAUGAGGCCGCGACCGAUCAGGUUGUUGGUGAGGUAAUGGCUCACCAAGCCUUUUACCGGUGCGGGCCGUGAGAGCGGGAGCCCGGAGAUGAGCACUGAGACAAGGGCCCAGGCCCUACGGGGCGCAGCAGUCGCGAAAACUUUGCAAUACACGAAAGUGUGACAGGGCUAUCCCGAGUGCCAUCCGCUGAGGAAGGCUUUUACCCAGUCUAGAACGCUGGGGGAAUAAGGAGAGGGCAAGUCUGGUGUCAGCCGCCGCGGUAAUACCAGCUCUCCGAGUGGUGUGGAUGUUUAUUGGGCCUAAAGCAUCCGUAGCUGGCUAAGUUAGUCCCUUGUUAAAUCCACCGAAUUAAUCGUUGGAUUGCGGGGGAUACUGCUUGGCUAGGGGACGAGAGAGGCAGACGGUAUUUCCGGGGUAGGGGUGAAAUCCUAUAAUCCCGGGAAGACCACCAGUGGCGAAGGCUGUCUGCUAGAACGCGCCCGACGGUGAGGGAUGAAAGCUGGGGGAGCGAACCGGAUUAGAUACCCGGGUAGUCCCAGCUGUAAACGAUGCAGGCUAGGUGUUUGGACGGCCACGUGCCGUUCUAGUGCCGCAGGGAAGCUGUUAAGCCUGCCGCCUGGGGAGUACGAUCGCAAGAUUGAAACUUAAAGGAAUUGGCGGGGGAGCAC
rnacentral:rRNA from 1 species